rnacentral:rRNA from 1 species
UACGGRAGGCAGCAGUGGGGAAUCUUGCACAAUGGGGGAAACCCUGAUGCAGCGACRCCGCGUGAGUGAUGAAGCCCUUCGGGGGUGUAAAGCUCUUUCGACCGGAACGAUGAUGACNGGUACCNGGGAGAAGAAGCUGCNGGCUAACUACGUGCCAGCAGCCGCGGUAAUACGUAGGCAGCGAGCGUUGUUCGGAGUUACUGGGCGUAAAGCGUGCGUAGGCCGGUCUUUUAAGUCUGGUGUGAAAUCUCCCGGCUUAACCGGGAGGGUGCGGCGGAAACUGGGAUGCUGGAGUGCGGGAGAGGUAAGCGGAAUUCCCGGUGUAGCGGUGAAAUGCGUASAUAUCGGGAGGAACACCUGCGAUGUAKAUGGCUUACUGGACCNGUAACUGACGCUGAGGCACGAAAGCGUGGGUAGCAAACAGGAUUASAUACCCUGGUAGUCCACGCCCUAAACGAUGCAUACUUGGUGUGGGCAGUUCAGYCUGUCUGUGCCGGAGCUAACGCCGUUAAGUGUGCCGYCUGGGGAGUCACNGGUYGCAWGGCUGAAACUCAAAGAAAUUGACSG